GAUGAACGCUGACAGAAUGCUUAACACAUGCAAGUCAACUUGAACUUCGGUUUGGGUGGCGGACGGGUGAGUAACGCGUAAAGAACUUGCCUCACAGAUAGGGACAACAUUUGGAAACGAAUGCUAAUACCUGAUAUUAUGAUUUUAGGGCAUCCUAGGAUUAUGAAAGCUAUAUGCGCUGUGAGAGAGCUUUGCGUCCCAUUAGCUAGUUGGAGAGGUAACGGCUCACCAAGGCGAUGAUGGGUAGCCGGCCUGAGAGGGUGAUCGGCCACAAGGGGACUGAGACACGGCCCUUACUCCUACGGGAGGCAGCAGUGGGGAAUAUUGGACAAUGGACCAAGAGUCUGAUCCAGCAAUUCUGUGUGCACGAUGAAGUUUUUCGGAAUGUAAAGUGCUUUCAGUUGGGAAGAAAAAAAUGACGGUACCAACAGAAGAAGUGACGGCUAAAUACGUGCCAGCAGCCGCGGUAAUACGUAUGUCACAAGCGUUAUCCGGAUUUAUUGGGCGUAAAGCGCGUCUAGGUGGUUAUGUAAGUCUGAUGUGAAAAUGCAGGGCUCAACUCUGUAUUGCGUUGGAAACUGUGUAACUAGAGUACUGGAGAGGUAAGCGGAACUACAAGUGUAGAGGUGAAAUUCGUAGAUAUUUGUAGGAAUGCCGAUGGGGAAGCCAGCUUACUGGACAGAUACUGACGCUGAAGCGCGAAAGCGUGGGUAGCAAACAGG
rnacentral:rRNA from 1 species